rnacentral:sRNA from 1 species
GCUGGGAGCACUGCACACACCUGUAAUCCCAGCAACUGGGGAGGCUGAGGCAGGAGGAUCACGAGGUUUGAGGUCAGUCUCAGCAAUGUAGCAAGACCUUCAGCAACUUAGAGAGACUCUGUCUCAA